UACGUAGGGUGCAAGCGUUAAUCGGAAUUACUGGGCGUAAAGAGUGUGUAGGCGGUGCUCUAAGUUCGGUGUGAAAUCUCCCGGCUUAACUGGGAGGGUGCGCCGGAAACUGGAGUGCUCGAGCGUGGGAGAGGAAAGCGGAAUUCCUGGUGUAGCGGUGAAAUGCGUAGAUAUCAGGAGGAACACCUGCGGUGUAGACGGCUUUCUGGACCAUUGCUGACGCUGAGACACGAAAGCGUGGGUAGCAAACAGG
rnacentral:rRNA from 1 species